rnacentral:rRNA from 1 species
GUCUACGGCCACGCCACCCUGAACACGCCUGAUCCCGUCUGAUCUCGGAAGCUAAGCAGGGUCAGGCCUGGUUAGUGCUUGGAUGGGAGACCACCUACGAAGACCAGGUGCUGUAGGCG